AAGGUGUUGGAGGGGCUAGGAUGCCAGCAUUACCUUGGUUGUCCAUGGGUAUCUUUUAUCCUUCAUGAACAGCUCUAAAAAGCAAAGUCCUUACUUCCAGGGCUGGGCUGUCCUUCUGCUGCUUGUGAUGAGACUUCUCAGGUAAUGAAUGCACUGACUCAGAACUGGCGUCUUAAUUAAUGGGUUGUAAUAAUGGAAGAAGAGCUAUCUCGCCUUUUGCAUGCUUGUCUGGAAAUGAAGAUAAUUGCUUAUGCAACCAUUAUAAGCUCAUGCAGAAAGUGUCUAUGCUCAUUUCUUUAAGUGACCUCUGAGAAAUGUGGUCAAAGUUCUAUGGCUGUAGUUAGACCAGACAAGCAGAGGGUUCCUUAUGGUUUGGCCUUUGCACUUACUAUUGUUUGAAAAGUAAUCAAAGCAUUACCACAUUUCUUAUCACUACUUUCUGUACUUUGUGUUGGUACAGUAAGGUUAAUGAAAGAAAUUAAAAUAUUCACAUAUUUAGUUCAAUCUUUGGGUUAAAAAUUUCUCCCAUUCAGACAUGUACUAGUCUUUGCACCAUCUGUAUUGAAUUUAGGACUAGAUUCCAAAAACAGUUGAGGCACAACUUAUGCAAAAUUUGAAUUUAUGCAUUUAUUUUAAAGGAGACAGCUUAGCUUAGUGUCACAGAAACACUAGGCCGACAGUGAUAUAUUGCAAAAGUCAAUUUUCUUUAAUGAUAUCAAAAUGCAAUGGUCAAAUUGAACAGGAAUGUUAUGUGAUACUGAGAUAUAACAGCCAGAUUGAACAGGAAUAUUAGGUUGUAAACACUCUGACAAACACAACUUAUUUACAGGUUCAGGAUGUCAGUUGGGAACUAUCACUACACAAACUGUAACCAAAUCUAAGUUUAGAAUGAUGAGUCAAAAUGCGCAUAUCACUCACCGAUAAGACGAGGCACGCAAUCCCGGGAAGUUUCCUUAGACGGUGACCUGAUCUAAGGGGAGAGUCUGCGACUGCAGACCCGCUGCUCCGAGGAAGGCUGGCUCCAAGGGGUCUUCUGGUGGGCUCCAUUUAUACCCUAGGUUGGAUCGGGGCUUGUGGUCAUAUAUGGUCGGGGGUCUAGAGACUUGUCUUGAUGGAGGUGUUUCGUUGGAUGAGGUGCUCCUGGUGGGCUCAGGUAGCUGGGGUAUGUGACUUGUGUCACUCUGUGUAGUGACUCCAGUUGCCACGCAGGCUGGGCGGCUGGAACCCCAAACUGCAGCUUCUAGUUUAACCCUUUCCUUUCAGCAAUUGAGAAGUUUUGGUCUUUAUUGGGGCAGGUGUACCUGCCACACUUAGCUUAAGAUAGGCAGCUCCUGACAGCUUCAAAUAAGUGUUGCGGAAUUCUUAUUGUACCACUUAAAUACACAUUUGUGUUUAAGUAUAAAAUGAUUUAGUGGACAAUGCAUUGGACAGAGUCCUACUGCCAUUAGCGGUUCUACAGGGAGUCUGCAAAAAUGUGGCAUGAGCCGGUUCCUUAUACACACUUACGCCAGCACCAGUCAUAUAAUUACAAAUCAAUACUGUAGCAUUUCUCAUUUUAUCAACAAGGGAAUUUGUUCUCCCUUAUAUAGAGUCAUUCAUCUCUGGCAUUCCUGUUUCUGUUGUUUGACAUGGUUCUGGAGUUAGACCUUGUACUGCGGGACGAGGUCAUUCCUCGGUCUCCAAUUAUGAUUGCUGAGCAGUUACAAUUUGAAUUUCCCCUUUGUAAGAUGUCUCAAGUUAAAAUUUUUGCAGCUGUUUUUCUACACUAGAUGGUUACUGCCAUCUGCUCAAUGAUUUUAGGCAUUCUGAUUCACGCUUGAAAGAACAGCUGUCUCGGAUACUCAUCUCGAGCACUUAUCUCUACCCCUUCCCUUUUUGCCUCAUGCAUUAUGUAGAGAGAUCUAGAAGUGUGGUGGGUUGACCUUGGCCAACCGCCAGAUGCUCACCCAGCUCUUCUCUCACUCCCCUCUCUCAACAGGAGGGGGAAGAAAAUAGGAUGGAAAAGCUUGCGGUCAAGACAAAGACAGAGAGACUGCUUACCAGUUACUGUCACAGGCAAACCAGACUCGACCUGGGGAAAAGUAAUUUAAUUUAUUGCCA